GUAGGUGGCAAGCGUUGUCCGGAAUUAUUGGGCGUAAAGCGCGCGCAGGCGGGCCUUUAAGGUCUGAUGUGAAAGCCCACGGGCUCAACCGUGGAGGGUCAUUGGAAACUGGGGGACUUGAGUACAGAAGAGGAAAGCGGAAUUCCAAGUGUAGCGGUGAAAUGCGUAGAGAUUUGGAGGAACACCAGUGGCGAAGGCGGCUUUCUGGUCUGUAACUGACGCUGAGGCGCGAAAGCGUGGGGAGCAAACAGGAUUAGAUACCCUGGUAGUCCACGCCGUAAACGAUGAGUGCUAAGUGUUAGGGGGUUUCCGCCCCUUAGUGCUGCAGCUAACGCAUUAAGCACUCCGCCUGGGGAGUACGGCCGCAAAGGCUG
rnacentral:rRNA from 1 species